ACCUAUUAUAUUUAAAAAAUCUUAGGUAGUACUUAGUAUUCAAAACCUAUACAGNNNGGCGGCAWUUUUUUCUUUUUAGAGGAACCUGUCUUUUAAUCGAUACCCCACGAUAAUUUUCACUUUUAUUAAAAUCCUUAUAUACCUCCAUCUUAAGAAUUAAUACCUAUAUUUUCCUCUUAAUAGACUUCUAAUAAGUUAGGUAAAGGUGUAGACUAUGUUAAAGUAAAGAUGGGUUACAAUAAAAUAUAUUUAAGGAUGAAUAACCAAAGUUAUUGCUUAAAAAGGAUUUAUCUGUAAUUUAAAAAUAUUAAUUUUGAAUGAAAUNGACAAAAAUGUGCACACAUCCCC
rnacentral:rRNA from 1 species